rnacentral:rRNA from 1 species
UACGUAGGGGGCAAGCGUUAUCCGGACUUACUGGGUGUAAAGGGAGCGUAGACGGCAUGGCAAGCCAGAUGUGAAAUACCGGGGCUCAACCCCGGGACUGCAUUUGGAACUGUUAAGCUGGAGUGUUGGAGAGGCAGGCGGAAUUCCUAGUGUAGCGGUGAAAUGCGUAGAUAUUAGGAGGAACACCAGUGGCGAAGGCGGCCUGCUGGACGAUAACUGACGUUGAGGCUCGAAAGCGUGGGGAGCAAACAGG